UGGGGGAUAUUGCACAAUGGGCGAAAGCCUGAUGCAGCGACGCCGCGUGGGGGAUGAAGGCCUUCGGGUUGUAAACUUCUUUUGCUCUGAACAAGGCGCACCAUGGGGUGUGUUGAGUGUAGGGGUUGAUUAGCGCCGGCUAACUACGUGCCAGCAGCCGCGGUAAUACGUAGGGCGCGAGCGUUGUCCGGUAUUAUUGGGCGUAAAGGGCUUGUAGGUGGCUGGUUGCGUCUGUCGUGAAAGCUCAUGGCUUAACUGUGGGUUUGCGGUGGGUACGGGCUGGCUUGAGUGCAGUAGGGGAGGCUGGAAUUCCUGGUGUAGCGGUGGAAUGCGCAGAUAUCAGGAGGAAUACCGGUGGCGAAGGCGGGUCUCUGGGCUGUUACUGACACUGAGGAGCGAAAGCAUGGGGAGCGAACAGG
rnacentral:rRNA from 1 species